ensembl:lncRNA
AAUUUCACAAAUGCAGUCUUUUCAGGCACUGAGCAGCAACUGUUGUGAGCUUUUACAUAGGAUGAAAAUCACCUAGAGCAGGGCUGGAGAUAAGAGUGCAUGUUUGAGACCCUGCAUUAUGGGUUUUGGUUUUUUUAUUGUUGUUGGGUUUUUUUUCUUUUUUUUUUUAGCUUUUCGAAAUUAUUUUGUUAUUGUCUUUGGAUCAGGCACAGUAAUAAGAAAUACAACUGAAGAAGUCUGGUUUUUCUUUUAAAAACUCAAUAUUCUAUUUUGAUAAAUUCCACACACAUGUUGAAAUAAUCGUACAAUGAACACCCAUAUGUCCACUCAUGUAUAUUUUUCAAUGAGCAGUUUCUUUUAAUUGGUUUAUUUCCAACUGUACAUUUAUCCAUUCCUUCAUCUAUUUAUCAAUCCAUCUUAAUUUUUUGAUACAAUCAGUUGUAGAUGUUAGCAUACUUUGUUGAUAAAGGUUCCAGUAUUGUUAUUAUUUUGGUUGUAUGAAACAGGAUCUCACUGUGUAGUUCAGGUCAGCCUUCGAACUCACUAUGUAGCCCAGGCUGGCCUUGAAUUCACAGCACUCUCCUUUGCCUCAGCUUCCUGAGCUGUGUGUAUAUUACUAACUAGAUUUUUAUUUUGACUUACAGUUCUCUUUCUUUCCUUAAAUAAUAUGUGCAUGUAAUGAUCCUCCACUGUCUCUCACCUCAGGAAAAAGGUCACUGGCCAGAAGAACAAGAACAAGAAGAAGGUAGCUCUUGAAAUCAAAAGUUAACAACAGACUUUUAAAAAGACUCACAGAAAUUAAUUUUAUGGUUCCAGCGUGAAUGUUUUCAUAGAACACUUCAAGGCUUGUAAUCACUGCUGCCAAACAUUUGGAAUCAACUACAAGUACAUAAAACUGAAAAAUGAUCUUAAACUAUCAAUGCAUCAUGUCAGAUUUUAAUUUGUAGGUGAAAACUGUACAAUGGAUAAAACACUUACUGCUAUUUCUGUAGUUGAAUCCAGAGAGAUACUUUUUUUGGUACCAGGGAUCUUAGGACCUCGCGCUUGCCAGGCGGGCACUAUGCCGUUGAGCUAAAUCCCCGGCCCAGAGAGAUACUUCUUAUAGAAGAACAAAACCUUAUGGUAAAUAACACCCAAAUGUGGUGAACUCUUAAGCAUUUUUCCCUUCAAGUGUGAAGGAAAGUGUGAUAUAUGCCAUGGAGAGGCAUCUGGAACACAAUUUAAAAUAAAGCCUUAAGAUUGCUCUUCUACUCCUUCACACACAGUUAUUUAUUUACUCACUUAUAUUUACAGUGCUGGGGAUUGAACCCAGGGCUGCUUCUCUCUCUUUUUCAUUUUUUGGGGGGAUGGGGAGGGAUGGAGAAGAAACAGAACAGGCCAGCUAUCAGAUAGAAACCUACUGUUUCUUUAAUAUUUCUUAAUUUGUUGCUGAUCUUUGGUUGUGUGAACCACAAUAGAGAUGCCUCUUCUGUAGCUGGUGUUCAAGUUCCCUAAAAUUUUAAAUUGUUUGGUCUGUUAAGUAUCCUUAUAUCUCAUUGGAAAGAUGCUUGUACUUAGCUGUCACAAUGUUGCAGCUACAAGAUUAAUCAGCCUCUCCUUCGUUCUCCAUCAUUUAAUCAUGCUCUUUCUUGUCUCUUCAUUUAAGAUGAUUUUGUUCAAAAACUGAAAAAUGUUUUAUCUAGAUAAGGAAGAACAUUCAUAUCACUCAGUACACUUCUGGCUUCAUUCUCUUACAACUUAUCUUUCCUGAGGCUUGAUUGUCCUUUAUCCAUUGAGUAAGCAGGUCUCUGUCAAAGGUAAAGGGUUAUGAUUACAUGGUGAAUUAAGCUAUUUUCUGUAAUCAAGGUUUUUUUCAAUUACUAGUUUUGUACACUAGAAUUUUUAAAAACAUUUUAUACAAGUAAGGCACUUAAACUGGCACCCUUGAACGACAUGAUUUUACCAGUACUACCACAAUACUGUAAUAUAGGUAGCUCCUCAGCAGCUUCUGAGUUAAACUUACUUGAUUUACUCUUGACCUUUUUUCCUAGAGUCUGCACAGGUACACUCUGCCUUGAACAAUUUAGAAGAGACAAAAACUGCUUAUCUUAGAAGCACAUGAUUUUUUGUUCUUAUAAACAGAUCCUUGGUUCAGCAUAGAUUCUGGAAGUAUGUGCAAUCUAUUUGCCUGUUGGGUGCCUUUGAAUAAGUUCUUUAAUUUCUUAAACCUUCACCUUUUUCACCUCUGAAACUAUAUAUAUCUCAAGAUUGGAAGUAUCUAGCACUAUGCUUGAAAUUACUGUAAUAAACCCACAACAAAUAUUCCUCUAUCAAACAUUAAGGUUUUUGUAGGAAUAUAAAGGUUGAUAACUGUUCCUGCGUUUACAAUUAACAGUGGAAAUAAAGUGAAUGAAAAAUAGUGUGGCAAAUGCUGUUAGAUGUAAGACCAUGUUGCUGAAGCAUCAUGGGGGAGCCAUCUAACCCAAAUUUGGGAUAUCAUGUAAGGCUGACAUCCUGAACUGAGUCCUGCAGAUACGGAGAUUAAUAAGCAAAGAGGAUGAACAAAGUAUUCCAUGCACAAAGAUCACAUCUCCCACAAUUCUUGAAAUACUCCGUUAUUUUUUUCAAGUAUUAUGUAGCCACCCAAUCUAUAAAUGUCUACAGAAAUCUGUAUCAAUUUAGUUUGUCAAUGGAUUCUGAAAUUAAACUCCUUUAUACCGUUUGGAGCUAUCUGCUAUCUAAACUUCAGCUUUUCCUAGUAAAGAGAGGGGUGAAAUUAGUGACUGGACAGUUCAAAUAACAUGAUAACUGAAUAGCUGGUGCAAGUGAAAGGAGCAAGGGCUUUGGAGUCAAACUGGCCUGUUUAUUCCGGUCCUGCUUGUAGCUGUAUGAUCUGGGCAAAUUACAUUGAUUUAAGAUUGGUUUUUUGGUCUAUAAAGUUCUAAUCCUCACUCGUAGGCACCCUGAGGUUUUGUUUUGUUUUUUGGUACCGGGGAUCGAACUCAGGACCUUGCACUUGCGCAGCAGGCGCCAGAACCACUAAGCUAAAUCCCGGGCCCCACUCUGAGUUUUUAAAUGCACUUAAAAUUCCUGACCAGUGAUUUGUACCCAGUAAGUAAUAACUUCAUACAAAUUCUCUGUCAAAGUCCUAAGGCAAGAGUGAAAGAAGAAAAAAAAGGGCUUAAUUACAAUUAAUCGAUUACUUGGGAGCGUGGGAGUUUCACUUGACUUCCAUUUUACUUCUAGAUAGCAGUUUGAUGGGCGGCGGAGGACGUGGAAAACAUCCCGAG